rnacentral:sRNA from 1 species
CAUGAUCUCCGGGUAGAUGAUCACCGAUACAGUUUAAAUACACUUUGGUCACGUGACAUAAAUAUGUUUUUAAUAGUGGUGUGGUGACUCUUCGGGCGAGACAGACAUGAGUCACUGGUCAGAUGUCAUUCACGGCAGAGCCAACUAAAUGCCGCUAUAGAUGUUUACAAACGCUAAUAUAGAAUAAGAAAUAUGACAAACAUUCAUUUCGUUGCUGAUGUCUGACAACUAACUUACCAAACAUCAUGUCUGAGUGUCAUUGGUGUCUGACGGCGUUUAUCCUGGGCUGUGUCUUCUCCUCCACGACACAACAAGACUCUGCAGUAACAGACACACCCAAGGGUCUGGACAGUAA